GAUGAACGCUGGCGGCGUGCCUAAUACAUGCAAGUCGAGCGAACAGAUGCGGAGCUUGCUCCUCUGACGUUAGCGGCGGACGGGUGAGUAACACGUGGAUAACCUACCUAUCAGACUGGGAUAACUUCGGGAAACCGGAGCUAAUACCGGAUAAUAUAUUGAACCGCAUGGUUCAAUAGUGAAAGACGGCUUUGCUUUCACUUAUAGAUGGAUCCGCGCCGCAUUAGCUAGUUGGUAAGGUAACGGCUUACCAAGGCAACGAUGCGUAGCCGACCUGAGAGGGUGAUCGGCCACACUGGAACUGAGACACGGUCCAGACUCCUACGGGAGGCAGCAGUAGGGAAUCUUCCGCAAUGGGCGAAAGCCUGACGGAGCAACGCCGCGUGAGUGAUGAAGGUCUUCGGAUCGUAAAACUCUGUUAUUAGGGAAGAACAAGUGUGAAAGUAACUAUGCGCGUCUUGACGGUAUCUAAUCAGAAAGCCACGGCUAACUACGUG
rnacentral:rRNA from 1 species